rnacentral:rRNA from 1 species
GACGUAGGAGGCGAGCGUUGUCCGGAUUCAUUGGGCGUAAAGAGCACGCAGGCGGUUUGGCAAGUCGGAUGUGAAAUCCCGGAGCUCAACUCCGGACCUGCAUCCGAAACUGCCCGACUAGAGGUAGGUAGGGGAGAUCGGAAUUCCUGGUGUAGCGGUGAAAUGCGUAGAUAUCUGGAGGAAUACCGGUGGCGAAGGCGGCAUCCUGGACCGGCAUUGACGCUGAGGAGCGAAAGCCAGGGGAGCAAACGGG